GAUGAACGCUGGCGGCGUGCUUAACACAUGCAAGUCGAACGGAAAGGCCCUGCUUUUGUGCGGUGCUCGAUUGGCGAACGGGUGUGUGACACGCGAGUAACAUGCCCCUGACUUUGGGAUAUCUUCAGGAAACUGCGGCGAUUACCGGAUAGAAGCUCUUGCUGCAUGUUGGGCGUUGGAAAGAUUCGGCGGUUGGGGAUGGUCUAGCGGCUUAUGAGCUUGUUGGUCGGGUAGUGGCUUACCAAGGCUUUGAGGGGUAGCCCGCCUGGGAGGGUGACCGGCCACAUGGGGACUGAGAGACGGCGCAGAAUCGUACGGGAGGCAACAGUGGGGAAUAUUGCGCAACGGGCGGAAGCCUGAGGCAGCAGCGCCGCGUUCGGAAUGCCGGCCUUCGAGUGAUAAACCACUUUCGCAUGUGACGAAGCGGGAGUGACGGUAAUGGGUAAAGAAGCACCGGCUAACUACGUG
rnacentral:rRNA from 1 species